rnacentral:rRNA from 1 species
UACGUAGGGCGCAAGCGUUGUCCGGAAUUAUUGGGCGUAAAGCGCUCGUAGGCGGCUUGUCGCGUCGGAUGUGAAAGCUCGGGGCUUAACCCCGGGUCUGCAUUCGAUACGGGCAGGCUAGAGUGUGGUAGGGGAGAUCGGAAUUCCUGGUGUAGCGGUGAAAUGCGCAGAUAUCAGGAGGAACACCGGUGGCGAAGGCGGAUCUCUGGGCCAUUACUGACGCUGAGGAGCGAAAGCGUGGGGAGCGAACAGG